AUAUGGACUUGCCUAUUUAAAAGGGGGAUUUAGCAGAGGACAUUUCUCUGUGUAGUGGGACAGCUGAAGAGGUGUAAUUUAACAGCUUUCAGAAGCCCGUCACUGGAGUGAUUGAGGUGGACAGAAGGCAGGGACAUGACCACGGUCCUUAAAAGACACAAACAGGUGGGAGAACACACUGGGGGUGGGCAAAGCGCUGGAAAGUACAAAAGGGAAGAGGCUUGCCUGGAAAAGCAGAGACUAGAUGAAGCAGGGUGUGAGACCGUCUGGAGGGAGAGAAGCCCUGGAAAGAGAGAGAAGCCCUGGAGAGAGAGAAGCCCUGGAGAGAGAGAAUCGAGAGAGGAGGAGAGGGGAGCCGAGAAAGAGGAGGAGGAAGGAGAUCAGGGAGAGGAGAUGGAGAAGAAACCAGGGAGACAGAAAAUGGAAAAAGGAAGAGAGGAGAUGAGUGGAGGGAAGGAGAGAGGAGAGGAGAGGGGAGGGGAGGGGAGGAGAAGAGAGGAGAGGAGAGGAGAGGAGAGGAGAGGAGAGGAGAGGAGAGGAGAGGAGAGGAGAGGAGAGGAGAGGAGAGGAGAGGAGAGGAGAGGAGGACAAACCUGAACCCAGAACACAUUUUGACAGAUGACUAGUCAGACAUAGAGGUAAAGCUAGAAUAAACGACAGCCAUAAAGAAAAAAAGAAAAGAAAGAGAAACAGGCACGGGGCACAGAGGGUUGCAUGAUAGACUGUCAAAGAGGACAGUGCACAGGAGGAAAGGCUGGAAAGAAUAGAGAUGGUGGAAGUAAGAGUGGAACGAAGUGAGGGGGGAUCUGUAAGGAGACAAACAAGAAAUGAUUGCAGCAUGGCGGCCGUCUAACUGUCAGAAAGUCACCGGGCUGUUCAGCUGGGCUGCAAGAAGAGCCACAGCUUUACCCAAGAGGGGACCGUCAGAAAGGCAGGAGCAGGCAAUUUAAGCAGCUAGCUACUGGGGGAGAGAAAAGGGAAAGGAAAGAAAAAAUAGAAGGAAAGGUGAGAAGCAGGAGAGGGAAAACCCAAAGGAGACACUGGCCCAGAAACCUUUUUAACUUUCGGUAAGAAUCUUCAAGGCCCCAAACUAGGCCAAGAUUCUGACUGACAUUUCUGAGCUCACCAGCUGCUGUUUCCUUGAGAGGAUUCUGACAGGAAGGCAUAGAAAUGCAAGCCAACCCUGCUAGCUCUGGAAAUAAAUAAAUAACAAGCCAGGCUCUACACUCCUCAAUGGGGGCAGAAGCCUGCGGGGCAAGAAAGCCCACAGAGGAGGAGGGACCCGCCUGCAACUUUUCCCCAGGCUUGGACAAGCGAUGCUCGAACACUCCAAGGACUUCACACACUAGAGGCUGCAGUCACUUCCCAAGGGAGCGGCCCCCUGCUCUGGCUGGUCAAACGGAACCAAGUCCGUCUUCCUGAGAGGUUUGGUCCCCUUCAACCAGCUACAGCAGGGCUGGCAAAGCCCAAUCUUUGGAGAAAGAGAAGAGAAGAGAAAUUAUCUGCUACCAUCUUGCUUAUGAAAAGCAGUUCUGGUUUUGUCCUCAUAGCCUCAUGUUCUCAGGAAGGAAGAAGAAAGGAGAAAACCCAGGUUCACAAGAGAUCAUAGGUCUCAUGCUCAACACACAGAAUCCUCUGCCUUUGUGUCCACAUUUAAAUCCAUGCACACCCACUGAUGAUGCGAUGGAUGGAGCUUGGGCCAGCCUUAGGCCAGCCAGUGGCAGAAUAUGGUACAUAGGAGACAGGUCUUCUGCCCACAAGGACACAGAAGCAUAAGUAAGGCCACUGACAAUGGAAAUACAGCACAACUCAACGGAGUUGCAGGCUGAAACAUGCUCGGUCCAAGAUAUCAUUCAUAAAUGUGUGGGAUGGAUGGAUAUAGACAAAUAUAUAUGUAUAUAUGUGUGGACAUAUAUGAAUAUAUAUUAUAUAUAUACUGAAUUUGCCUGUGACGUUCUACAUUCUCCAUGAAGCCCAGAGCUUUGUGUACACUGAAAUUAAAGUACACAGAAGGAGGUUACCCAACUCCCCAUAGCUGGUACCUAUGAUUAAGGUAAAGCCCUGUCUUCCUGUUUGAAACCUUCCUGUUUUGUUUAUUAGUUAUCAUGUGAACUCAUAACUAGCCUCGGUCAAAUAGCCUCAGUCACCUCUGUUAAAACCUUAAUUGCCUUUUCAUCAGUACAUAGAAAUAGUGACCUGAUCAAUCACAUCAUUGUUCUAAGACAAUGUGUGUAAAUAACCAACCAUAAGCAUUCAGGGAAUGCAUAGCUUGCUAUUAUGACAAUAAUGGUGUCAUGCCCAGAGGCAUGGUCCCUUGAGGAGGAAGAACAAAUUUUAAAAGAUAAAAUUGCCAAAAUAAAUGUUAUAUUUAUGUCAGUACAUUUAUAUUCUGGCUAUUGAUUCUACCAGCAUGCAAGAUACACUCAUCCUAGUGCAUACUGUCAGUAUGUAGUAAGUUUUGCCAAAAAUUACUUCACACGUGAGAUUCUACUACGUGGGAAGAGGUUCCUGACAGCAUCGAGCUUGCUCUAUAGCCAUAGAGCCUUCUGGGUGUGUGAGCAUGUUUUCUAGAUGCAAACAGAAGAAACGUGGCUGCAGUUGGCUGCCUGUGAAAAUAAUGUACGAAGGUCUAAAAUUAGGACAGGGUGCACAAUGAGGUUUUUCUCUUUGACAAUGCUUUUAAAACCAAAUUGGUAUUCAAUAAACUUUUCCCUAAUAAAUGAA